rnacentral:rRNA from 1 species
GACAGAGGGUGCAAACGUUUGUUCGGAAUUACUGGGCGUAAAGCGUGUGUAGGCGGCCACGUAAGUCGGAUGUGAAAGCCCCAGGCUCAACCUGGGAAGUGCACUCGAUACUGCGUGGCUUGAGUAUCGGAGAGGUUGGUGGAAUUCUCGGUGUAGAGGUGAAAUUCGUAGAUAUCGAGAGGAACACCGGUGGCGAAGGCGGCCAACUGGACGAAUACUGACGCUGAGACACGGAAAGCGUGGGGAGCAAACAGG